rnacentral:rRNA from 1 species
GCAGAACGCGAAGAACCUUACCAGCCCUUGACAUGGGGAGUAUGGGUCGCAGAGACGUGACCCUUCAGUUCGGCUGGCUCCCACACAGGUGCUGCAUGGCUGUCGUCAGCUCGUGUCGUGAGAUGUUGGGUUAAGUCCCGCAACGAGCGCAACCCUCAUCUUCAGUUGCCAUCGGGUAGAGCCGGGCACUCUGGAGAAACUGCCGGUGACAAGCCGGAGGAAGGCGGGGAUGACGUCGAGUCCUCAUGGCCCUUACGGGCUGGGCUACACACGUGCUACAAUGGCGGUGACAGUGGGCGGCGAAGGGGCGACCCGGAGCCAAUCUCGAAAAGCCGUCUCAGUUCGGAUUGCACUCUGCAACUCGAGUGCAUGAAGUUGGAAUCGCUAGUAAUCGCGGAUCAGCACGCCGCGGUGAAUACGUUCCCGGGUCUUGUACACACCG